rnacentral:misc_RNA from 1 species
GUCAUUUACGGCUAAUGACGGCUUUCCUUGCAUUUGAGCAUGGUUGGUGGCUAUUAGUUGUGUGAUUUCGGGGAUGUCUUCCGUAAAGGUGCAUGAGUGGUGUCUGGUUUGUUACGGGUGGUUGGCUCUUUGCUUGCGCAACAACUUCCACCUGGCAUUCCUCUUCAUUUUUGUUUCAAUGCCUUUAAUGGCAUUGAAUGCACGUUGGGUUUCUUGUGUUGAAUGCCAAAUUGAUGGUAACGUAUGAUGAACCGAUGGUCAAUUUCGUCUUUUGUUGCACACGCGAUGCAAGACGAACUUUUAAGCAGCCUUUGUGAUCCACUCUUUUGAUGCCCGUGCAUUGAUCUAGUGGCUCUUUGAGUCCUUGCUUGGUCUCAUGGAUACGGAACCUUGUGUGGGCAUGUGAUCUUUUACUAGAUCAUUGUUUGUCCAAGCUAAGCUUUUUCAAAUACGAUAAUAUCCUAUCAUGUCCUUACGUGGUAGGCUAUAUCGAAUAUGAAUGCUACCUGG